GCUGAGUGUGGUGGUGCAUGCCUGUAGUCCCAGCUACUGGGGAAGCUGAGGCAAGAGGAUUGUUUGAGCCCAUGAGUUCUGGGUUAUAGUGUGCUACGCUGUUCUGGUGUCUGCAUUAAGUUCGGCAUCAAUAUGGUGUCCUCCUGGGAGCAGGGGUCCACCUGUUUGUCUAAGGAAGGUGAACUGACCCAGGUUGGAAGAAGGGCAGGUCAAAACUGCUGUGCUGAUCAACAAUGGGAUUGCACCUGCGAGUAGCCACUGCACUCCCGUGUGGUUGACAUGGUGAAGCCCUGUCUCUA
ensembl:misc_RNA Metazoa_SRP Metazoan signal recognition particle RNA